UGGGGAAUAUUGCACAAUGGGCGCAAGCCUGAUGCAGCAACGCCGCGUGAACGAUGAAGGUCUUCGGAUCGUAAAGUACUGUUGCAGGGGAAGAUAAUGACGGUACCCUGUGAGGAAGCCCCGGCUAACUACGUGCCAGCAGCCGCGGUAAUACGUAGGGGGCUAGCGUUAUCCGGAUUUACUGGGCGUAAAGGGUGCGUAGGUGGUCCUUCAAGUCGGUGGUUAAAGGCUACGGCUCAACCGUAGUAAGCCGCCGAAACUGGAGGACUUGAGUGCAGGAGAGGAAAGUGGAAUUCCCAGUGUAGCGGUGAAAUGCGUAGAUAUUGGGAGGAACACCAGUAGCGAAGGCGGCUUUCUGGACUGCAACUGACACUGAGGCACGAAAGCGUGGGUAGCAAACAGG
rnacentral:rRNA from 1 species